rnacentral:rRNA from 1 species
GCAUAUCAAUAAGCGGAGGAAAAGAAACCAACAGGGAUUGCCCUAGUAACGGCGAGUGAAGCGGCAACAGCUCAAAUUUGAAAUCUGGCUCUUUCAGAGUCCGAGUUGUAAUUUGCAGAGGGCGCUUUGGCUUUGGCAGCGGUCCAAGUUCCUUGGAACAGGACGUCACAGAGGGUGAGAAUCCCGUACGUGGUCGCUAGCUAUUGCCGUGUAAAGCCCCUUCGACGAGUCGAGUUGUUUGGGAAUGCAGCUCUAAAUGGGAGGUAAAUUUCUUCUAAAGCUAAAUAUUGGCCAGAGACCGAUAGCGCACAAGUAGAGUGAUCGAAAGAUGAAAAGCACUUUGGAAAGAGAGUCAAACAGCACGUGAAAUUGUUGAAAGGGAAGCGCUUGCAGCCAGACUUGCUUGCAGUUGCUCAUCCGGGCUUUUGCCCGGUGCACUCUUCUGUAGGCAGGCCAGCAUCAGUUUGGGCGGUGGGAUAAAGGUCUCUGUCACGUACCUCUCUUCGGGGAGGCCUUAUAGGGGAGACGACAUACCACCAGCCUAGACUGAGGUCCGCGCAUCUGCUAGGAUGCUGGCGUAAUGGCUGUAAGCGGCCCGUCUUGAAACACGGACCAAGGAGUCUAACAUCUAUGCGAGUGUUUGGGUGUCAAGCCCGAGCGCGUAAUGAAAGUGAACGGAGGUGGGAACCCGCAAGGGUGCACCAUCGACCGAUCCUGAAGUUUACGGAAGGAUUUGAGUAAGAGCAUGGCUGUUGGGACCCGAAAGAUGGUGAACUAUGCUUGAAUAGGGUGAAGCCAGAGGAAACUCUGGUGGAGGCUCGCAGCGGUUCUGACGUGCAAAUCGAUCGUCAAAUUUGGGCAUAGGGGCGAAAGACUAAUCGAACUAUCUAGUAGCUGGUUCUGC